GUGCUUGUUUUGGCAGCACAUAUACUAAAAUUGGAAUGAUACAGAGAAGAUUAGCAUGGCUCCUUUAUAAGGAUGACUCGCAAAUUCAUAAAAUGUGCCACAUUUUU
ensembl:snRNA U6 U6 spliceosomal RNA